UCCAGACCUGCCACGCAGCUGCGAUGAAAGGCCUCUGCAGUAUUCAGUGCUCCAAGCUGUGGACGACGGAAGGAGAACAUCCUGGGGCACCUGGAGCGCUUUGAAGAUCUCCCCCUGAUUUUGCCCUUGACCCUGGAGGCUCUUUUCCAGCUGACGUGAACGGGAACUGCCAGGCUCCCUCAAGCACCCUCAAGCGCUCCAAGCACCCUAAGGCUGAAACCAUUCUGCUGCAUAUUCCUGCAGUGUAGGUGGGGUUGGACUAGAUGAUCCUUAGGGUCCCUUCCAAGUCUACAAUUCUAUGAUUCAACAAGUGUCUCGUCAGCCACACUUUAUGACUCCUUUCAUGAGCCAGGUUGGACUGCUUUUGUAUUGUGAACUCUUUUAAAGUGUCUCUGUGGGAGCAACCAGUAGCUGAGGAGGAAGAAGAAAGGGGCAGUAAGAGAUGCGGAGGGAAUGAAUAAAGCUCUCUCUGAGAAUUGUUUAUUUCUUAUGGUUGGAAGGGUAGACAAGAAAACAGGGUGCCUGUACCCUAGCUUUAACUGCCUUGUCUCAUACACAAAUGUGGAAAGUUAAUCCCUCUCCUAAACUAAUUCCACUAUUUUGAGGACAUAAGCUUUGUCCGGCUGAUUUUUUUCAGAUAAGUACUUUUUAAAACUAAUAAUCUGUUGGCAUCCAUCCGUCUUGAGAGACAAUGGAGUGUGCCUCUGGAGGUGAAGCCAAACUGCUGCACUAGGAACACCAAGCCAGCGCGCAAGCCUGGGCAGUGCGUAUGGAGGUCCUAGGCUGCCCAGAUGACAAGACUCAGCCAUUUACCUUCCCGCUGGAGUGCUGUAAUCCACAACACCUCACUAGCAACAGGCAACACAGCAAUGUUUGGAAAAGGAGAUUGCUGGAACCUGCUGCUCUGUUUAUCAGGUUCAAACCGUUAAAAAAUAAAUAAAUUAAAGUUUUCCAUAUUA